rnacentral:rRNA from 1 species
UACGUAGGGUGCAAGCGUUGUCCGGAAUCAUUGGGCGUAAAGCGCGUGUAGGCGGCCCGGUAAGUCCGCUGUGAAAGUCGGGGGCUCAACCCUCGGAUGCCGGUGGAUACUGUCGGGCUAGAGUGCGGAAGAGGCGAGUGGAAUUCCUGGUGUAGCGGUGAAAUGCGCAGAUAUCAGGAGGAACACCAAUUGCGAAGGCAGCUCGCUGGGACGUGACUGACGCUGAGACGCGAAAGCGUGGGGAGCAAACAGG